UUCCUCUAUCUCCACGCUGCAGGUCAGACACUUUCCUCUAUCACCACGCUGCAGGUCAGACACUUUCCUCUAUCUCC